ensembl:snRNA U6 U6 spliceosomal RNA
CUGCUCGCUUCGGCAGCACGUGUACCCAAAUUGGAAUGAUACAGAGAUUAGCCUGGCCCCUGCGCAAGGAUGACACGCACAUUUGUGAAGUGUUCCAUCAGAGA